rnacentral:snRNA from 1 species
GUGCUGGACCUAGCAGCGCGCCUCCUAAAACUGGCACUUGAGAGAAGAUGAGCAGGGCUCCGGUGCAGCAAUGACUUGGGAAUUCACAAAGCAUUCCACAUUUUU